UGAAACUUCAGUCCUGCUCCGGAGCUUGACUCAUUGAGUUGUGAUGUGUUUGUUGCCUGCGAGCACAUUAAACUCAGUUGCAUCUGAUUCUACGUGUCUCCAGUGAUUUUUUUCUGACCUCUGAGUAUUUGAGUUUUUGAUGUCUAAUGGAAGACAAAGAAAGUCCGUUUGAGAAGAAAAGAGCAAGGUCGCGAGCUUUCUGGCACGACUCGGGACCUUGACUUUUUUGCUUCAACAUUAUUUGGCGAGCCAGCGUAGGAGGACGAGGAGGUCAGAUCCUGGGAUCGGGGGCGCUUGGCUGCGCAUCAGACGUACAGGUGGCCACCAGAUAAGGUAAGCAGAGCCUUUUUUCUACCUAAACCGGGUGCGUCUGAGGUGCAGUUGGGAGCCACCCAGGUCGGAGGUAUUUGACAAUUCCUCUCCUAAAGAACCUAAAAUGUGAUGUAAAAAUUACUAACUAAUAACACAACAUUGGAACAUAGCUGAUAUAUUGCUGGAGACAACUGAAUCUAAUGCAACACAGUGUGUGUGUGUGUGUGUGUGUGUGUGUGUGUGUGUGUGUGUGUGUGGAAGUUAGAGAGAUAAACAUGGAGAGUGAAUGUGGGAGUGAGUGAGUGUGUGUAUGUGUGUGUGUGUGUGUGGAAUGUGGGGGAGUGAGCUAGAGUAACCAAGCAGGCAAAAGAAAGAGUGAAUGUGUGUGUGCUGAAUGUACGGUAACAAAUGUAGUGAGGAAUGUAGUAAGAGUAAAGUAUUUAAAGUAUUAAGAAGACAAACAAGAAUAAGAAGUGCACAAGAGAAAAAGAAACCCGUAAGAGCUAUACAGGGAAGAGAAAAAUAACCGGUAAAGAGUUAAAAAGAGUAAAGCAUAUCCGUGGUUACCACUACCUAAUCUUGCCAACACUCUCUUUAGUUUGUAGAGGCGGGGGUGUUGAAGCCGGACGGCAGGUUUGCGCGGACGGAAUGCUAAAGCAGAUAAAGAAGCAAUAAGAAAUAAAAAGAAAAACAAAAGCAUAUCCGUGGAUACCGCUGCCUAUCUUAUCGGCACACCUUUAAGCCUGUAGGGGCAGGUGUGCUGUGUCAGACGUCAGGACUGCACGGGUGGAAUGCUAGAAGUUGAGAGAGAAAUAAAGAGUUAAAAAGAUAUAAAGCUCCUGUGGAUACCGCUGUUUAAAGGGUGAUCUCUCAGCCAAGAGGGCGGGGGAGUCGCCACAGAUAAACAGGUCUGAACGGGCAGAACGCUAAAAAAAAGAGUUAAAAGUUAAGAGAUAAAGGAAAAGAGCAAAAAGAAAAAGCAGUUAACAAGAUCGAUCAAAAGUGUAAAAUUUGUAAAAAAAAAAAAAAACUAACUGUAAGCUAUAAAGUUGUUGUAUAUAUAUUGUAAUAUAUUUAGAAGUAUCAAAUAAACUGUAGCAAACACAAUAUAACCUAUCUAAAAAGUAAUGCAUGAAGUGUUGUAUAAAGUAUUGUAAAUACAGUGAAGUGUUGAAUAAAAUGUAACUGUAAAAAGACUGACAAAUCAUUGGAAGACUGACUUAACAGAGAGUACAAAGGGAGGGGGUGAGGAAUGCAGCCAGCACAGAGUGAGGAACACAGCCAACAGAAGUGGGCUUAUACAAAAAACAAAGCUUUGUUAAAAUUUGAUAUUUUGGUUCUGACAUUUUGGGGCCUGAAUGUUUUAUCAUAAUCCGGUAUCUGUAUGUUUGUUUUAUGUGAUUUGUUUCAAAGUUUUGUUACAUGAGGUAGUUAUUAACAGUGUCUCAGUGAAACAAAACCAGACAAGGGUAACCUAACGGUGCCAACAAAAAGUCCACAUGUUUCACUGAUUGAACCAGUUGCUCAGGUGAACUUCAUACAAACUGGUUGGCUGUUAAGGGGAGAAUAAAAAAGAAAUAUCUAUUACUUUAAUUUAAUUUUAUAGAUAAAUAAAAUAAGUGAUAAGUAUAGUUUCAUAAAUAAAUAGAAUAAGUAAUAAAAUUAUAAAUAAAAUAAGUGAUAAGUAUAGUUUCAUAAAUAAAUAGAAUAAGUAAUAAAAUUAUAAAUAAAAUAAGUGAUAAGUAUAGUUUUAUAAUAAAUAAAAUAAGUAAUAAAGUAAAGAAAAAAGAAGUUGAGAUCAAGCUGUUAAGAGCUGGGUGGAAGAGGGUGACAGCAGUGGUGAUGAAAAUUGGGCUGAGCAACAUUGUAUGACUGAUGGCUUAGUAGAUACCAGAGGCAUAAAGAACACAUUUCGGGUUAGAAAGAACCUACAUAGACAACAAGGGUGAGAAGCAGUGGCAAGACGAGCAACACAUUAGCUAAAACUUUGGAUAGUUAGUAAAUUUACCAAUUGAAACAAGUGAAGGAAAAAUUUCAGGUAUACAGUGGGAGACGAUUUCAAAUGAUUUGUGGACUCCCCACUCAUUAGAUCCACUGCUGAUCUAACAGACCCGUAGCUUCACUUCCUCUGAACCAGGUAAUAUUUUAAGAUUUAGAGAACAAAGUGGAAUUUAAUCCAAGAUUGCAGAUUGUUGUCGUGCCUAGAAAAGCUAAUUUGGGAGGGGAUGGGUCACAUAAAUUAGAAUAUAACCUCUGAAGAAAAAUAAUACAAAAACUGCCUUCACAGCAGCGAAAUUACUAGCACUGAUACAUACAAAAGAAACAGACGAGCAACCACAAAAUUCCAAGAGUGAGUAAAGUUAAACAAGGCUUCAUGGAAGCCAACCAAGGAAAGAUGGAAAAAGGGUUUCUGACACCCAUAGAGAUAGUGAUGACAUAACACCCAAGUAGGAGAAACCGAAUCCAACGCUGUGUGACUACAUGGCACAAAAGAACAUCAGGGAAAAAAUCGUUGGCCUAAAGAUGAAACCGUCAACCUGGCAUGUUGCGACGAGGUGGAGACGGAACUAAGACACAUUGAGGCAAAAGACACUAAGGCGAGUUAUAAAAAAGAACAAAAGGGUUAAAGAAAGGGAGGUAUUAGGGUGGUUUAGACAGACAGGGGGUGGGAAGCAAAUGGUGCAAGCAGAGCGCAGCAAGGACCCACAGGACCCACAGGCACUGACGGGUGUGAUACCCACAGCCCCACCCCUACCAGCAUCACCACCACCAUACCCACAAGACACAUCACCAUCAGAGACGGGACAAUACCCACUACGCUCAGUAGGGGAAGCAAGAGCAGCAACAACAAUGGAAGGCCAAGUGGAGGGAAGGUUCACAGUGACCUUGGCCAGGAUAAGACCAAGAGCAGAUGAAAGAAGACGCUCCCCACACGCAGAACACUGACAAUGCAAUGCCUCACAUUACCACUACUGUUAUCCACAAUGAGCAGGUGGAAACAACGAUAGCCAGAGGCCCCCCAGGGGGCGGGGUCGAGGCAAACCUAGGGGAAGACCAGCAGGCCGAGGAGGAUGGAGAAGGGGACUGAACUUUCCUCCAGGACCCCAACCACCGCAACAGCAAACCUAUCAGCGAGCCGCACCCUAUCAGCAAUCAGGCUCCCAGGAAAUGAACACAGGAUUUCCAGGAGUGAAUCCUGCAGCACCUUAACAAGCUGUGCUGGGGUUGUUACCAGCCCGGCCACCGACGCAGGGAGUGUCCGGUCAACCCAUGGGAAGGUCCAGCAGAAAAUUGGCCGAAAACGAGACAGGGUGCCCAUGAUAGGGCUGCCCAGAGAAGCCUGAGAGGGAAGUAAUGUCACCAGUCAUUUCAUUACAGCCACACGACGAACCAACUAUACCUGUUGUCAUCCACGGACAAGCAUAUCCCUUUAUGGUGGACACAGGGGCUACAUAUUCAUGUAUUGGAAAAAAAGACUCUACACAGCCCUCUCUAAGUCAUCCAUCAAGACCAUAGGCUUCUCUGGGAAAUCACAAGUCAUACCAAUGACAGAGCCUGUUCCAAUGCUCAUCGCCGGUAAAGUCAUCCUUGCACCCCUACUCUACUCAACUCAUACGCCAGUGAACCUUCUAGGCAGAGAUAUAUUGUGCCCUCUCAAAACUAAGAUCAUGAGUACUCAAGAUGGACUAUAUUUAGAGUUCUCUGAUGACCCCCCACAAAGCAUGAUGCCACAGCUGCCCGGGAACGCCACAGAGACAUCACAGGCGUUGGUCUACUGGCUCCAACUGACAUCAGAAGAGUCUCACCUCAACAGACAUGGACUCAGUGGGAACCAUGGGUCAGGUUACAUUUUGACACAGCACAUACUCCCAAUCUGCCACUGCAUUGCACACUCAUGUAUGACACGGACCAGACUCAUGUAGAUUAUCAAGAAUGCUGGGACACAGUGCUCAAAAAAAAAAAAAAGAAAAAAAUGCCUGAUCACUAGUGAAGACAUGUAUUCAGCACCUCAAGGUGUGGUGGCAGCCGUCCGCCUCCCAGAAGAAUUAGCAGGAUGGUUUCAGGUGCCAAAUUCUGCACCACACGUUACAUUGAUGAUAGCAGAAGGUUAUGAGUCUCAUCAUCUGGGUCCAAUGGUCAGACGUGCACUGCAGGUGCGAGAGUGGUUACCCACCAAGAACAAAUACAUCCACAUUUCAGAUGUCAAACAAUACAUCAGAAUCUCAACUAAGACAGGUGAUGAAACAGUCGCAGACAAGGUACAUGUAGAUGGUACUACUCCCACACAGAUAGCAGUCACAGAAGAACACGCACGGUUGUUGAGUAAAGUUCCACCACAGCUAUGGACAGCACAUAAAACAGACGUAGGCUUGAUAAAAUGAGCGCAACCUGUUCGCAUCACACUAAAACCACAUGCUAACCUAUCAUACCAGAGGCAGUAUCCUCUCCAGCAGCAUGCCAUUGACGGUAUCCAACCCACAAUUGAAGGCUUGGUAAAAGCCGGAGUUCUGGUCAAAACUAGAAGUCCCUGCAACAUGCCCAUUUUUCCAAUCAAGAAACCAAAUUCCUCAGAAGAGCAGCCAAUGCAGUGGUGGAAACAGAGACGCCACAUGUGCCAGAUUCACACACAUUGCUUUCAAAUAUACCACCCAACACACAGUGGUAUACAAUCAUUUAUUUAUGUUCUGUUUUUUUUCAGUAUACCGCUACACCCGGACUCUCAAUAUUUGUUUGCGUUCACUUAUGAAUGUCAGCAUUAUGACCUAGCUAAUUUGAACAUGCAAAGCACUGUAUUACAAUAUGCAGAUGAUUUGCUUGUCUGUUGCUCUUCAAAAGAAUAAUGUCAAAAGAUUCCAUUGCAGUGCUCAUAGCAUUAGCAGAGGGGGGACACAAGGUUAGUAAAGACAAAUUGCAGUUCUGCCAGCAGUCUGUAGAGUACUUGGGCAGACAGUUGAGUGGGGAUAAAAAGUGCAUUGCCCCAUCUCAGAUAGAGGCAGUAAGUAAGGCUUCUCAACCGCAGACGGUGGGCCAAAUGCUGUCUUUUCUCGGCAUGACAGGAUACAGUCGGCCAUGGAUUUAUGACUAUGCUGUAAAACUGCUCCACUCAGAGCUUUAGUAAGAGCAGCAGGACAGAAAAACAACACAACACAGCUGUCCUGGACGGAGGAAGCAGAAGGUGCGUUCCAAGCUUUAAAAAUACACAUGCAGUCCGCUCCAGCGUUAGGCACUCCUAACUACUCCAAACCUCUUCAUCUCUACGUAGCAGAGAAAUCUGGGUUUGCGCAUGCCGUCCCAAUGCAAGACACACCCACAGGUAAACAACCACUAGCAUAUUAUAGCACUAAGCUUGAUAACAUAGAGGCCGGUUUACCUCCCUGUUAUCAGGGGCUAGCCGCAGCUGUCUUUGCAUUUCAAAAAGCUUCCUCAUUAACAAUGGGACAUCCUGUAACUUUGUACACCUCUUACCAGCUUCAGGCCAAGCUGACAAGUCCCAGAUUCGGUUUUACACAGGCCAGACGCACAGGAUAUGAGGUUAUCCUGUCCACUCCUGAGCUCGACAUUCAACGUUGUACCAUCAUUAAUCCAGCCACCAAAAUGGUUCUACCCACAGAAGGUACACCAUGACUGUCUUCAUGACACAGAUAAAUUUAUGCACGCUCGAGAAGAUUUACAUAAUCAGCCCAUUUGAGCUGACCUCCCGUUGUUCGUUGAUGGCUCCUGUUUUCAGGACGCCACAGGUAGUCAUGAGGCUAUGGAAUUGUACAGCUCAAUAACAAUCACAAUUUUGUGACUAUACGAUCAUGUAAACUUGCUCAGCCCUGCUCCGCCCAGCUUGCAGAGAUAAAAGCUCUAACAGCAGCAUGUAGAUUAGCAAAGGGAAAGUCACUGAAUGUAUAUACAGAUUCAGCAUAUGCAUAUGGAGUGUGCCACAUCCACGCAAACAUUUGGAAACAGAGGUUUCGUAGAGCAGACGGCACCCCAGCUACACUUGGGGAGGCCAUUGUUGACUUGUGGGAGGCUAUGCUCCUCCCCAAAGCCCUAGCUAUAAUCAAAUGUCCAGCCCACCAAAAGACUGAUUCAUUGAUAGCCAAAGAUAAUAACCUAGCUGAUAGCUAGCAAGAUAGCAGCCAAACAGGCAGCAAUGGGUGCAGUAAUGGCACCCAUGUUAACCAUCCAAGACUGUGAAACCCUCACUACCAUGCCUUCUCUUGUAGCCACGCAAAACAGAGUAAGUGAGGCUGAAAAACGACUGUGGAUCAAGUGUGGCGCUAUCAGAACACAAGCACAGGGGCCAGAGAUAGUCAUGGCAAUUUUGUACUACCAACCUUGUUGCUGCGACAUGCUAUAAUUUGGGCGCAUGGUAAUGACCAUUGCGCAAGGGGGGAGAUCCUACGGAAUUGCGAGCAACAUGGUGGUCACCAUUCAUGGCAGCCACAGUAGAUAGAGUACUAGGCGAAUGCGAGAUUUGCGCAAGAUACAACAUCAGGAGAGUUUUUACAGCCCCACUGGCACAUAUACCACCUCCAGACGGUCCUUUCAGACACCUCACGUUAGACUACAUAGACAUGGGAGCACAAUCCAGAGUAAGAAGAAUGAGAUACGUCUUGGUGGUCAUAUGCAGAUACAGCCGAUGGGUAGAAGCAACAGCUACAGCCGAUCAGAUCAUAGAACACUUGCAAAAUUCCUCUGCCGAGAAGUCUUCCUGAGAUUUGGGAUGCCGGAUACCAUAUCAUCAGAUAACGGAAAACACUUUGUAAUACAAGAAACACUGAAGCAACUAGGCAUCAAACAAAAGUUUGGCUGUGUCUAACACCCUCAAUCACAGGGGGCAGUAGAAAGAGCAAAUGGGAUUCUGAAAACAAAAAUAGCAAAAAUAGUAGUAGAUAGUGGGGACAAGCUUAACUGGGUGGAUGCUUUACCACUUGCACUAAUGUCAAUGCACUCACAAGCUAGCAGAAUCACGCAUCUAACACCGCAUGAAAUGCUUAUGGGUUCACCCAUGCCAAUACCAUAUUUGAGGGGUCCCUACGAAGGGCCCCCAUUGGAGCAACUGCAAAAUGAAAUGUUUGACUAUUUACUAAGUCUAACCCGUAUCCAUAGGGCUAUCUUCCAGCAGGUGAAAGGCACCACCGAGGACAGAAGGGUUGAAAUCCCAGAAGAUCUUCAACGCAUACUUCCUGGAGAGUGGGCGUACGUCAAGGUGUUCAAAAGGAAGUGGGACCACCCACGCAGAGAAGGUCCAUACAAGGUCAUAUUAACGACACCAACUGCCUUGAAAGUUGAAGGUAAGGACAUUUGGUUACAUCUUAACCACUACUGCAGAGCUAACAACCCAGAGAGGGUGUCGACAGAGAGCACCUCAGAGGAAAACACCCCAUCCUCAGUGGCUGACGAUGAACCUCAUGAGUCGCCACCUGGUAGCUGCAGGGCUGAUGAUGAGGGUCCAAGCGCAGAGAGAACAGAGAGAGAAGAGAGAGCAGAGGCAGAAAGAGAGCAGGGAGAAGAAAGCAGCAGCUCAGAAACAGGUGAAGCUAGAAGCACAGAAAGGUCAGACACAGACACAGGAGACUCAGACAGAAGCAGCACAGACUCAGGAGACUCAGACCCCAGAGAAGGAACAGCCCAGGGAACAGCCCCCAAUAGACCAGCACAGGGAAAGAUUGAGAACACAGGCAACAUGGGGGGAGGAAUUAAAGUGGGAAUAAUAAUGCUACUGACCCUAUUGCUUAUUCUGGUAGGACUAAAACAGAGUGAAGGGGCAGAACCAGACAGACAAGGCCAGGCACAACUAGGCGAGUGUGCAGUAGCACUAGGGACCAUGGCCGCAAAACAGGGCAAGAUACCUUACAGAGAGAUCAUGCAGUUGACUUACUAUAAGUCACAUGCUUAUGAUGGUGUGUUAGUGGAAGGUCCAGGAAAUGUUAGGUUGCAUGGCCGGUCUAUAGGACCAUAAUGUAGUGUAGAAGGGAUGGUGACAGCAAGAGUCUGGUGUGAUAAUGAAAAAUAUGCCAAUGUAGACACCUACCCGUAGAACUGGCUUAGCAAUGGCUCAAACUAAAACCGAAACCCCCAUAGAAGAACCAGAAAUACGCCUGUACGAGACACUGAACUAAUUAGAAGUACCACAUGGAGAUCUAAUAUGUUUUAUCAGUGGUUAGAGUACUCCGCCAAGCAGGUAACUAACAGCUCGUGCAUAGCCUGCCACAGAAAAUUAGGCCUACCUAGAGAUAGGCCCCUCACGGGUAUAGAGGAUUGUGAACGACGAAACACCUGUUUUGUGCAGUGUACUAUGUGGAUGGCGGCAGGGAAAACCAAUUAUGCCAGUAAUAGGGAAAUCUGCCCAAUAAGUCUUAAGGGGGCUCCUGAGCAAAUUAAAAAAGAAUUUCAAGUACCACCAGUAGUGCAUUUGGCUCAAGAUAUUGUAUUUCGCAACAACACGCUCAAGGCGGAACAAUUGAUCCAAUGCCGGUGGGAAAGUGCCACCCAUAAGUAAACUAAUCAGACUUGGAUUGCAAAAGUGUGUCAGACCAUAGAACACACUAGGAUACAAUGUCACCAGAUGGUGAACUAUUUGUGGUACAAUCAACAGAGGUUCGUAAAUUGGUCUAUAACAGCACUGGAAGGUGUGAGUGAACAGUUGCAUGCUACAUCCCUAAUGGCUGUGCAGAACAGACUUGUCAUCGAAACAACGUCAGCCCCAGACUAAGGUGUUUGUGAUGUAAUAGGGGAAGAAUGCUGUACAGCCCUCCCCAUGAAUACAGGCGAAGACGGCAACCUGACUUAAGCUUUAGAAAACAUACGUAGAUUAAGAGACCAACAGGUACACCACUCUAAUUGGAACACUAAAACCUCAUCAAUUCUUGACUGGUUAGAAAAGUUCUCUGUUGGAAAAAUUUUAUGGACUAUAGGAGUAAUAUUUGAUAAUCUGUUGCGUCCUUCCCCUAGUACAGAUCCUGAUAAGAAGGGCCAUGAGAACGGCCACGGGACAAUUUAUUAUGCUGAUACAACAGCAGGAAAAGCUCCCGAGAAAGGCGAAUUGUGGAAACUAGAUAAACCAUGGGUAAGAUCCUAUGCAUCCAAAAGAUUGAACAGCAAUUUAUAUGAAACCGCAAUUGACAAUACGGACGUGUGUGAGAAUAUGGCUGACAAUAUAAACUUAUAUGAGCCAAUGAAGGGGAACCUGGAAGGGGAAUACGAGGUUGUAUAGAGGGAGAGCCAAUUCAGGGUAAGAAAUAACCAAGUAAUUGGCAAUAGAUUCAGGAAAAACCUUGCUGUUACCAAACCCAUACUAACAAUCGACUGAUUAACAUAUAUAGGUUAUCUAUACCAUGGGGCAAUUAGGAGGAAAAGGAGGGAAGUGAAUUGAACUAAACAAUGUCCUUUCCAACACACAGAUAGGUGCAGAGCAUGGCCAGCAUAUGGAGAUCCCUGUAUCCAAAGCGGCAGAAUCCAGGGUUGGCCUACCAAGAGCGCCCAGCCAUGUCAGAGGACCAGCCACCAUUUGAGCCCAGGCUAGGGAUGACCUACAGCAACAACUGGUCAACCACCACGAGCUGCAACAGGAGAUCAAGAUGCUGAGGGACCAGGUGGCGUCCUACCGGCGCCUGCGGAUGACUGGCACAUCCGCCUAUGUGCCCGACGGAUAGUAACUAGGCAGCAUUAACAGCAAAGAUAACUAUGUACCUUGCUUACUGUAACCUGUAUAUGAGAAAGUUACAGGGAUUAAUCACGCAUAUAAUGGUAAAUGACAGCAAGGGCACCCAGUAUAACUCUUGUACUCAAAACACUACUACAUCAAUAACAUUCAGAGCAAUUAGAUAGAAGUGUGUUCACGGGAAUUAUUGCUGGAACUGUUUUAUGUGUGAUGUAUAUUGAUAAUGGUUCUGUAGUAUGGGACUUUUCAAGUCCCACAGAGGGAAUAUAUUUUUUCCUCUGUCAAGCUUGCUGAUUCAUAUAGAUUAUAGUAUGGGACCUUCUUGUCCCAAAGGGGGGAAUGUAUAUUUUCCUCCCUCAGUAUUUAGUGGGACGAUGUAGCCCCAAAGGGGGGAAUGUAGUGUAAGAUUUAAUCACUAAUCAGGUAAAUGUUUUAUUUUGCAUAAGUUGAUUAAGGUUGGAGUUCAUGUAACCAUGUUUUAUGUAUCCAUGUAUGGCAAAGCACUUUUACACAAGUUUGCGUAUUCAUGUAUUGAAACACACACAUACCAUACCAUGUAUUGCCUGGAAGUGUAAUAGUAGACAGUAGUAGUAGGCCAGGAGAAAAAGAUUAAACCAUAGGGACAUGUCUGGGCAUGUCUGGGCAUGUCCAGGCAUGUCUGAACAAAGGCAAAAAGGCCUGCCACCAGUGGGUAGGAUGGACUAAAGGAAAAAGGUGGAGAUUCUCUCGAAUCCUCACCAGCACGAAUCCUCACCAGCAUAAAAGGGAGCAGCGCAGAAAGUAAAACUUCAGUCCUGCUCCGGAGCUUGACUCAUUGAGUUGUGAUGUGUUUGUUGCCUGCGAGCACAUUAAACUCAGUUGCAUCUGAUUCUACGUGUCUCCAGUGAUUUUUUUAUGACCUCUGAGUAUUUGAGUUUUUGAUGUCUAAUGGAAGACAAAGAAAGUCCGUUUGAGAAGAAAAGAGCGAGGUCGCGAGCUUUCUGGCACGGCUCGGGACCUUGACUUUUUUGCUUCAACAGGUAACCCAGGAAAGGUUGAUCUCGCUUCAUGAUACAGGCCCCUGUUCUCCAGACACUUCCAGGACUCUUCCUCCUGCUGAGGUUCAGUAUUCUGCAUCAUAUCUGUCUGUAUCUGACUAAGUCCUGUUCCGAUAGUGACCCCUGGGUCCUGCUGUGUCAUGUCUCUUCCCCAGUGUAAAGACAUCGAGGACGUUUUUUGACGCCAGCCUGCACUUCAUUGGUUGCCUGGGCAUCACCAUCUACAUUCACCUUCUUUCAACACAUCCAGGUGGUAUUGAAGCAGCUUUCUGGACCCUCACGCCGAGACGCAACUUGAUCGGUCAAUAUGGCAAAUCCCAUACGACUCCUCAUCUUGUUGAGUGACGACAGCUCAGAGAGGAUGGAUCUACCACUGGUGCCAGACACUGUUGAAGAGCUCAUUAAACAGGUCAAAGAAGCAUGUAACCUUACUGGAGGCAUCAGGCUGCAAUACAAGGAUGUGGACUUUGGUGGAACAUUUGUUAACUUGAGCUCAACCUCCUCGAUCAAGGAUCUUACCACCAUCAAGGUCAUACCGUCUGUUCCUGAUGUUCUGAUUUGAGUGACCUAGACUCAAGCUCCUUCUCAGCACACACUGAUUCAGAUGACACAGUCAUACUCAGCAGCAGCUCUUCUGAGAGACUCCGAACAGAGCCCUGGCCAAAGGAGUUCAACAUCCCACCCUUCUCCUUUGAAACAGAAGGUCAACUCAAGAAAGGGAAUGCUGAAUACACAAAGAACCAAACUAGACUGACACCUUCGUCAAAAAUGCUGUCCGACAUAUUGGAAAGAUUGGCAGAGAAGAUUUUCUCCUACAAGGUGUACCCCAGUGAUGCAGACCUGGGUGAUGUUGCAGAGGCUCUGACAAGGAAGCAUCCCUGCCUGAGGCAACCAGACUCCUUCAAUGAGAGCUACGGAUGGAAACUGAGACUCAAGAGUAAGAUGUGCAACUAUCGCACUCAGCUGAAGUCACAUGGACUUGCAUCUGAGCUCAUGGUGAACACUCUAAAAUCCAAGUCACGAGAAGAUCCCCUUCCCCUCCCAGCAAAGAACAACAAAAAGGCAAGAAGAGGUGAGGCCAAUUACUAUCCUCAGCCCAGCAUUGAGACUCCAGAAAGCCUGGAGCAAGAGAGAACAUCACUUCUGACUGAAGUAAAGAAGAGAAACAAUGAGAAAACCAUACGGGAGAAGAUGGCCAGGACCUUCGAGUUUAGGAGGCAAGAGGUUGUGGAUCAGAAGCCUUCCAUUGAGAACCUCAUGGAAAGAUGGCCAGCUCUAUUUCAGAUGGAAGAGAUCAAUGCCGAGUUUCUGAGGGUUACUGCAGUUCCCCUGCUGACGAGAUUUAUGGCCCAGCUGGACAAGUACUCAACGCAGCUACUGAAGAUCAUCAGAAAGAAAGGAGGAGCAACCAAAGCAAAACCUGCCACAAUCCUGGAAUUUCUUGAUCAGGAUGCCGAUGCUGAUGUCAGAAGGGAGUGUGUCCUCAAAUCUCUCAUCAUAUAACUGGGAGAAUGUGUUGAGGACCUGAUAAAAGAAUACACGAUGUCCCAGAAAGAUCAAGCCGAGCAAGAGCUGAAGAGUACCACCAUGGUGGUCUUCGUCUUCAGAGAGAACUCGAGCCUUCUACAACAGCCCAAAGAGAUCGGGAUCAUCAUUGAUGGUGUGAAAGUCCUCAUUGAGUUGCCGUCCGUGGCAGCUGGAGUGGUAAUGCUCUUUGGGCUCUGUUAUGCUCUUAAUAUGGAAUAUCCCCAGGGGUUCAGGUUCACCUUUGAGGCUCUUCAGAAGACCCUGAUGGAGCUUGGUUCCAACAAGAUGAGCUCCAAGAUUCGCAAACUGAAUGGUGAACUCCACACUGCACAGUAGUAUGUGUGGCAUGCGUACACAUGCUUGUGUGUGUUUGCGGCAUGCACAGUAUGUGCACCUGUGCUUGUGUGUAUGUGUAUUAAGAUAGCCUGUAGUAACCACAAGCUGCUAGCCAGCACUUUACGAGGGGGAGAACCUCAGCGGCACUUAGUUGCACCUAGCCAAGGGUGCUAUAGCCAUUUAAGGUUAUGUUAUAUUGUUGGGCUUUGAGUGAGUGUUUUGAAUUUGGUUGUUUGAGGGUCAACACUGCUUCCGGAAAGCAAUAUUUAAUUUAAUUUAAUUACAGUUCAGAUUUGAUAGAGCCUGUGUAUAGGCCUACUACCAUGUGUGUGUUUGUUCUGGUUCAUUUGCUUGUUAGGCAAUCUAUUUUUUACCUGACUUGCAUUUCUUAAAGAUCAUUACAGUUUAUAUCUGUGCUGAAAACAUUGCAGCAGAUUCUAAGUUCAGAUGCCAUCUUGAUAAAGACUGCCCAUUUAAAAGGGAGAUUCCAGUCGCCAGAGGGUGAUAAAGCAGUAUACCAGUAUGUUGAUUUUUCGAAAACAAUUCACUGUUAUUAUUCCUGUGUGCUACAGUAUAUAGCAUCCUCCCCUGCCCUCAUGGCCAUGUCCUGCUCUCUCUAUCCUCCUCUCUCCCGCCUCUCAUCCUCUCCAUCCUUUCCUCUGUUCCCCUCUCCACUCUACUGACAACUCCAUCCUAUCUUCUCCUGACCUGACUAACCUUUGCAUCUGGAUGUUAGAUCCCAGGCAUUACAGGGAAAUGAUAACAAUAUCAACAGGGAUCUCAUCCUUUCUUGAAGCAUCUGUGUUUUCUUUUUAUUUUAGUUUCAAUUGGCUCCACAUGAAUCCACACAACAGCGCAUGUUCUUACAGAGGACGAUUAGAAUCUAUUUAAACGGGAAACUCUGUUGCAAUUGGCUGAUUAACAUGAGAACAUGAUCCUUUCAAAGAGAUAGGACUUUCCAAACAAACACAAAGCAUCAUUAUCUGCCAUUACACACUGAGGAAACAUUUGACUCACGCUGGAAUCUUAAAAAAAAAUUUAAAAAAAUGGGUGGAGCUUAUUUAUGUUGUUGGUCAGCAUUGUAGAGUGAGAAUGCCCACGCUGUCAUGUUACUGAGAUACGAAGCCACUUUUAUUAGCAUGAGUUUAGCAACAUUCAUCAAGAAGUUCCAGAUAAAAGAAGUGGUUAGAAGAUGAAGUAAGUUUCUGGUACAUUGCAUCAGAACAGAAUAAAAUGAAACCUUGUGAUCAAAGUGUUAAAAUGUGCUUAGGUGGAUUUAUAAUUAAACCUUAGCAAAAAUACCUUUCUCUCUAAAUACUGCAGCACACUGUCACAAUGACUGUGCAGCUGCUUGCCUGUGGCCACAGUCUUAAAAAUGACAUUGAUAUCAAACCUCUGUGAGUGUGUGGGAAACAGAGCUCCUUUCCCUGUUCUUCGAGAGAAAACACCCCAGAGAAAAAUGGCAGGAAACCUACAGGGCCUUCUGAUUCUGGUUAGUCACCCUAUCUUCUCCCCUGUCCACCUCUGUUUUCCAUCCUCUCCUCUUCUCUUCUCCCCUCUCCACCCUUUCCCCUCCCUUUCCCCCCCCCUCUCCAGCCUUUCUUCUCUUCUCUCCACCGUCUCCUCCCUUCUCAUCUGCUCCUUCUCCUCCUUUCCAUUCUCCUCCUCUCCAUCCUCACCUCUCUCCUCACCUCGCCACCUUGCAGUACCUGUAGGGAUGAUAUACAGUGUAUCAUUUAAGUCAGCAUCUCAUAGUCCAGGGUUACUCACAUAUUGACUGGACAAUAUCU